AUUGAACGCUGGCGGCAUGCCUUACACAUGCAAGUCGAACGGUAACGGGUCCUUCGGGAUGCCGACGAGUGGCGAACGGGUGAGUAAUAUAUCGGAACGUGCCCAGUAGUGGGGGAUAACUGCUCGAAAGAGCAGCUAAUACCGCAUACGACCUGAGGGUGAAAGGGGGGGAUCGCAAGACCUCUCGCUAUUGGAGCGGCCGAUGUCAGAUUAGCUAGUUGGUGGGGUAAAGGCCUACCAAGGCAACGAUCUGUAGUUGGUCUGAGAGGACGACCAGCCACACUGGGACUGAGACACGGCCCAGACUCCUACGGGAGGCAGCAGUGGGGAAUUUUGGACAAUGGGCGCAAGCCUGAUCCAGCAAUGCCGCGUGCAGGAAGAAGGCCUUCGGGUUGUAAACUGCUUUUGUCAGGGAAGAAAUCUUCUGGGCUAAUACCCCGGGAGGAUGACGGUACCUGAAGAAUAAGCACCGGCUAACUACGUG
rnacentral:rRNA from 1 species